UCCCGGUUGGCCCGGGCAGUCUUGCCUGAAAAAUACAACAGACAACAAGGGUUGCGCUCGUUGCGGGACUUAACCCAACAUCUCACGACACGAGCUGACGACGGCCAUGCAGCACCUGUCACCGAUCCAGCAGACUGACUGCCUAGUCUCCUAGGCAUACGAUCGGGAUGUCAAGGGUGGGUAAGGUUCUUCGCGUAGCCUCGAAUUAAACCACAUGAUCCACUGCUUGUGCGGGUCCCCGUCAAUUCCUUUGAGUUUUAAUCUUGCGAUCGUACUCCCCAGGCGGCAUAUUUAACGCGUUAGCUUCUCAGCACAGAGGGUCGAUACUCCAUACUAAUAAUAUGCAUCGUUUACGGCGUGGACUAC
rnacentral:misc_RNA from 1 species